AUCGUAAACGCAGGCUCUCGAUCAAACUCGUGUGGAGAAUGUGGUUUAGCUAGCGCGAGUUUUUUUGCGCCUCCCAAAAUUCCCUGUGCAGGUUGCUAUGGAAGCUCCCGUAGACCAAAAAGUCUGCUGCGCCAUCAAGCCGGUCCGAAUGGAGACAGAUGUUCAGAGGGAGAUGAUGCCACAUCUGGUCCAGCUGAUGGAAGGUCUUGAAGUUCUCUGACUGGCCUCGACUGAAGAUGGUCGUCUCACUGGAUUUAAGGUUCAGAUGCUCAGUAACAAACUCCACCAAUGUGCCAACAGGGAAGCUUUUGGUUUAUUAAAUGUUGCUAUGAAGGUAUCGCUGUUUUUCUUUGUGAAUGCAAUGUGCUCCAACUGAAACUUGAAUUAGAACCUAGAAGUAAAUCCUUCCAUCUGAAAGGAUUUAGUUGCAUUAAUAACCUCAUAACAUUCUAAUUUUUAUUCCAGUCUUGGUUGGAAAUAGAAUCUCUGUAUUUAUUCAUGUAAAAACUGAACUUCACAGCAUGUUGAAGCAAAACAACCAGAUGAAAACUGUGAUGGUGUUGGAUUGUCAGACCAUAAUGUUGCAGCUCAAAGCAGCUUUUCUAGCUCAGUUCAUUCUGACAUUCAGCUAUGAAUCAACACAGCAGAUGGUGAUCCAUGCUGUGGAAGUCUCACAUCUCCUGAUUUAAUGGAGCUGCUUUGCACUUUUUACACUGUUUAUUCACCAACACUUUAUUUAAUAAAAGUCCCAUCUAGUUUUUAUGAGGAAUGUGAUGUUUUAAUUUCUCUGUGAAUAACUGCAGUCUAAUGUAACAGCUGGAAUUGUAACAUCUGUCCUGAUAUUGAUCAUGAAGUAUUGAUCAGAAUACUUAUGGUUAGCAGUCAUCCCUGAAGUUUUACAUUAAAAUCUUUACUUGUGUUGUGAACUUUGGUAAGAAGCAGAAACGUUAGCGUUGCCAUGGAUACAUGAGUGUUAAAUUCUGUCCAUGUUUCCAUUUUGGGAAAUUCAGUCCAGCAGAUGAGUUUGUUUUUACUGCCAGCUACCAUUCAGUCUGAGAUAUUAAGAAUAAAUAAAUUUGCAUAAUGUGGAAAUGAACAGAUUUUAUUUUUAUUUAUUCCUACAGCUGCUGCAAGUAAGUUCCAAAAUGUGGAGGAAUUUAGUCUCACAAUCACAGACAAUAAAUAUUAUCUGAAAGUCGGGUUAUUGUUGUUUAUCAGCACAAUACAAAAAGAUUAAUGUUAGACAUAUUCCAGUUAAGACUCUAGAAUAUCAGGAUUUAUGUAAGUUUACCUCAAUAAUAUGAAUGUUCAGGUUAAGAUUGUGCAGUGAAGUUUAUUAUGCAAGUUUAGCUAAUUAAAGUUUAUGACUGCACUACAGUAUUAUUUAUUAUUUAAAUUUACAUCAUUAUUACAAUAUUUAGGAUCAGACCCUACAGUAUUGAGAUUAAGAAAUCAAAUAUUCUAUAAAAUGUAAAUACACUGAACUCAUUUGGAUAUAUUUAAGUGAGAUUCUACAAUAUUAUUUACGACACAAAUCUAUCUAAAUCAAAAUUUUAAUCAUUUUUACUCCAAAUAUUUACUGGACUGAUUUAAAUAUUAAAAUCACUCCUUUCUAAUCCUCUACUGUACGUUCAAACCUGAGGCCUGAAAUAGAAACACAAGUAUCUGUUUGAAGGAACUUCUGCAGAGUCCUGGUUCCAGAACAUGAUGAUAGAAUUAUAGACAAACUUUAACAAAAGCUGCCUGAGAGUUUACAGGUUUUUAUAGAUAGAUAGAUUAAACCUUUAUUGAUCCCACAGCGGGGAACUUUACAAUGUAACAGCAGCAGAUGGAACAGAAUAAAAAAAGAGAGCAGCACACAAUGCACACAGUGCAUAGAUAUAAAUAUUUUCUCCUUCUAGAAGAAAACAUACAAUAUUUACAGCAAAAUUCCUAUGAAAUUGCACAGCAUCAUUAUGUACAUUUUUAUUGCACAGUUUGUAGGUGGGUGAACUGAGCUACUGGGAGCAGGCUUGAUUGUAAAGUCUGACUGCAGCAGGAAGGAAGGACCUGCAGUAUCUCUCCUUUAGACACCGCGGGUGAAGCAGUCUGUCACUGAAGGAGCUGCCCAGUGAUGUUACUGUUUCCUGCAGGGGAUGGCAGGUGUCCUCCAUGAUAGACAACAGCUUUGUCAUCAUCCUCCUGUCUCCCACCACCUCCACAGGAUCAAGGGGGCAGCCCAGGACAGAAUUGGCUUUCUUUACCAGUUUGUUUAGUCUCUUCCUGUCUGCAGCCGUGAUGCUGCUGCUCCAGCAGACCACUCCAUACAUGAUGGCUGAUGCCACCACAGAAUCAUAAAAGGUCCUCAGAAUUGCUCCCUACACCCCGAAGGACCUCAGUUUUCUGAGCAGGUGGAGUCUGCUCUGACCUUUCUUAUAAAGUGCGUUGGUGUUUGUACUCCAGUCCAGUUUCUUGUUUAAGUGAACACCCAGGUACCUGUCAGAGUCCACAAUCUCAAUGUCUGUUCCCUGGAUGUUCACUGGUGAAGGAGAAGUGUGUCUGUUCCUGCUAAAGUCCACCACCAGUUCCUUGGUUUUCACUGCAUUGAUCUGGAGACAGUUCAGCAGGCACCAGUUCACAAAGUCCGGUUAAGUUCUCUGUACUCCUCCUCAUCUCCAUCCGUGAUGAGGCCGACGAUGGCGGAGUCGUCAGAAAACUUCUGAAGAUGGCAGUUUGUGGUGUGAUGGGAGAAGUCUGCUGUGUAGAGGGUGAAAAGAAAGGGGGCAAGGACAGUCCCCUGUGGGGUCCCCGUACUGCAGACCACAGGUCGAACACACAGUCCCCUGCCCUCACAAACUCUGACCAGUUGGUGAGGUAAUCCAGCAGCCACAUUGUGAGGUGGGAGUCUACUCCUGUCUGCUCCAGCUUGUCCUCCAGAAGCACAGACUUGAUGGUGUUGAAGGCACUGGAGAAAUCAUAAAACAUGAUUCUCACAGUGCUCUUCGUCUUCUCCAGGUGAGAGAGACAUCUGUGCAGGAGGUAGAUCACCGCAUCAUCAACCCCGAUGCCGGGCUGGUAGGCGAACUGCAGCAGGUCCAAUGAUGAGCUCACCAGGGGUUGCAGAUAACAAAGGACCAAGGACCUUUUAUGUUAGAUUUCUUCAGUAAUUUAAUGAGUUGUCAGCAAAAAUCAAGUGUUCAUUUGAUGAACUUCAAUUCCUAAAACAUCCAGAAUUGGAGCUCAUAUCUUUGACAGCUGUAAAGUUUCUGCUCCUUCAAAGUUCACAACACAAUGAAUGAAUUCCUAAAACACUCUCAAUGCUGGAGAGUGUUUGUGAUGCUGAAGCAGUGAUCAGUUUUUCUGUUUCUUCUCUGGAGAUGCACAAUGAGGGACGUCUGCAGUGACUGAGAAAGAGUCUCACCACAUCCUGACAUGAGGAAAAAGACUUUAUUGAAGACUACAAUGAGGAAAAACUAUCCAGACAGCAGAUGGCUGCAUUCAAGUCUGUAGCUGCUGAAUUCAUGGAUGAAUCAUCUGGCACUAGAGAAGAAGACCAUCAAACAUCCACGUCAGCUGAUGGAGGUCCAAGAGUCUCACCAAACAAACAACCUACAGAGUGAAGACCUCGAAUCUGAUUGGACGGCCUCCUAUUCAGCCACAUGUGUGAACAAAUGCCUCUAAGUUGAUUUGUUUUCUAAAAUAAAUCUAGUUUGAGUCCUAA